GACGGAGGGUGCAAGCGUUGUUCGGAUUGACUGGGCGUAAAGGGCGUGUAAGCGGUUGGUCAAGUCUGAUGUGAAAGCCCCGGGCUCAACCUGGGAAUUGCAUUUGAGACUGCAUAGCUAGGGUGCGGAAGAGGGAAGCGGAAUUUCCGGUGUAGCGGUGAAAUGCGUAGAUAUCGGAAGGAACACCAGUGGCGAAAGCGGCUUCCUGGUCCAGCACCGACGUCAGGCACGAAAGCGUGGGGAGCAAACAGG
rnacentral:rRNA from 1 species